rnacentral:rRNA from 1 species
UACGCAGGGUGCUAGCGUUGCUCGGAAUCACUGGGCGUAAAGGGUGCGUAGGCGGGUCUUUAAGUCAGGGGUGAAAUCCUGGAGCUCAACUCCAGAACUGCCUUUGAUACUGAAGAUCUUGAGUUCGGGAGAGGUGAGUGGAACUGCGAGUGUAGAGGUGAAAUUCGUAGAUAUUCGCAAGAACACCAGUGGCGAAGGCGGCUCACUGGCCCGAUACUGACGCUGAGGCACGAAAGCGUGGGGAGCAAACAGG